UUCACAAAUACUCCUCCGUCAUCAACCACGAUCCUUUCUCUCUUUCUCUCUCUCACGAACUGCUUCCUCUUCCUUUUUCCUUUUUCCUUUUCUUCUCCUUCUCCUCCUCUUCUUCAUCCUUUAUUUUUUUCGUUUGCAAUGGAUAUAUUUGUGAUCAAAAAAGGAACCGAAAACAACAGUGGUAUGUGAUUCGGUUUGCAGCGGUUGGACUGAGUAAGACGCGAUGGUUUCCGACAAAGGUUAGACAUCAUAUGGCUAGGCUUUCUUCCAUUGAUCAGAUUACGAGGACGUAUUUGAUUUGUGGUUAUCCGAAUGUUGGCAAGAUCUCUUUUAUUAAUAAGAUUACUAGAGCUGAUGUUGAUGUACGAGGACGAUAGUGAAUUGACUAAUAAAGUUUUUACUAUUUUAAUGUUUUGAUGUGUGAUCUGGUUUGACAGUUUUGAUUAAUGAUUGCAAUUAAGGUGGUUAAUCAAAUGGUAACUGACAAUAUUCAUCUGUGCGUGAUUACAUCAUUUCCAAAAGAUCUUGAUGGAUAUGGCGAUCAAGUGUGACAGCCAUUGGUAACUUCUGCAUUUGCUCAAUUGUUGUGGGAACUAUAAACAUAUCUUUUUCAUCUAACACUCCACAUGCAUUCUUUUGCUACCCUAUUGUUUGUUGCUGAGAUCUUUAUCUCCCUUUAUGUUGGUAGAUGCUCUGGACAUUGAAAAAUGGAUGUUUGUUAGUGAAAGUCCUGAAACUUCUAUAGCAACAAGUUCAAUAUUGUUGGGUUUAUUACUCCUUGGAAGAGCAACGUUUGUUUUCCCCUUAUCCUACUUAUCCAACUUGACUAAAAAAUCACAACAUUAGAAGAUCUCCUUCAGACAGCAUGUGAUUAUUUGGUGGGCUGGUCUUGUGAGAGGUGUUGUUUCAAAGGAACUCAAGUACAAUCAGUUCACUAUGUUGGGGCAUACUCAACUGCACAACAUUCAUCUGUGGGUGAUUAUGUUGGUUUGUUUUAAGUGGUUGACUUUGAGCUGGACCACUAAGCAUGUAGCCCAUACAUUUGACUAUGUUAUUCCCAAUCUAAUUCACUUAGUGCUGACCAAUUUCUUACAUAAAGAGAAGAGAAGCUGAGGAGUUUGUUUACAACAACUGAACUUUUGAAAACGGAGCAAUGGCGAUUUUAUCAACUUAAGUUUAAUGGAUAUUGUUUACUGUUAACUACGGAAACUAAGACUGCCAUUUGAAAACGGAGCUACUAUAGAUUGUAAGCUUACAUGAUUAAAAACGAUACAUGAAUUGAGUUAUUUUGAAAUUUGUCAAAUGCCUACACUUGGAUGGCUCUGUCAACCUAGAGAUCAUGGAAAAAGACAUUUGGGUGUUGUAGAUUAUGGUAGAAAUGUAGUGUCCUUGUGACAUACUUAUGUCGACGCCCUUUCGAUUAUGCUUUGGCUACCCAGAGGAAAAAGCUUGAUCUUGAUCUCAGCAUGUGUCUAUUAAUAAUAAAAUUUGGCUUAUUAAUUUAAAACACCUUAUGACCUGUUUAUAGCUAUUUUUCAUCUAUAUCCAUAAGCUCCAGUAUAGGAUAU